rnacentral:rRNA from 1 species
GACGAACGCUGGCGGCGUGCCUAAUACAUGCCAGUUGAGCGCUGAAGGUUGGUACUUGUACCAACUGGAUGAGCAGCGAACGGGUGAGUAACGCGUGGGGAAUCUGCCUUUGAGCGGGGGACAACAUUUGGAAACGAAUGCUAAUACCGCAUAAAAACUUUAAACACAAGUUUUAAGUUUGAAAGAUGCAAUUGCAUCACUCAAAGAUGAUCCCGCGUUGUAUUAGCUAGUUGGUGAGGUAAAGGCUCACCAAGGCGAUGAUACAUAGCCGACCUGAGAGGGUGAUCGGCCACAUUGGGACUGAGACACGGCCCAAACUCCUACGGGAGGCAGCAGUAGGGAAUCUUCGGCAAUGGACGAAAGUCUGACCGAGCAACGCCGCGUGAGUGAAGAAGGUUGUCGGAUCGUAAAACUCUGUUGGUAGAGAAGAACGUUGGUGAGAGUGGAAAGCUCAUCAAGUGACGGUAACUACCCAGAAAGGGACGGCUAACUACGUG